UUUUAUGAGAGUUUGAUCCUGGCUCAGGACGAACGCUGGCGGCGUGCCUAAUACAUGCAAGUCGAACGCUUCUUUUUCCACCGGAGCUUGCUCCACCGGAAAAAGAGGAGUGGCGAACGGGUGAGUAACACGUGGGUAACCGGCCCAUCAGAAGGGGAGAACACUUGGAAACAGGAGCUAAUACCGUAUAACAAUCAAAACCGCAUGGUUUUGAUUUGAGAGGCGCUUUCGGGUGUCGCUGAUGGAUGGACCCGCGGGGCAUUAGCAAGUUGGUGAGGUAACGGCUCACCAAGG
rnacentral:rRNA from 1 species